rnacentral:rRNA from 1 species
AUUGAACGCUGGCGGCAUGCUUUACACAUGCAAGUCGAACGGUAACAGGUUAAGCUGACGAGUGGCGAACGGGUGAGUAAUGCAUCGGAACGUGCCCAGUCGUGGGGGAUAACGCAGCGAAAGCUGUGCUAAUACCGCAUACGCCCUGAGGGGGAAANCGGGGGAUCGAAAGACCUCGCGCGAUUAGAGCGGCCGAUGCCUGAUUAGCUUGUUGGUGGGGUAAAAGCCCACCAAGGCGACGAUCAGUAGCUGGUCUGAGAGGACGAUCAGCCACACUGGGACUGAGACACGGCCCAGACUCCUACGGGAGGCAGCAGUGGGGAAUUUUGGGCAAUGGGGGAAACCCUGAUCCAGCAAUGCCGCGUGAGUGAAGAAGGCCUUCGGGUUGUAAAGCUCUUUUGUCAGGGAAGAAACACCGGCUCUAACACAGUCCGGGAAUGACGGUACCUGAAGAAUAAGCACCGGCUAACUACGUG